rnacentral:rRNA from 1 species
CCUACGGGGGGCAGCAGUGAGGAAUAUUGGUCAAUGGCCGCAGGGCUGAACCAGCCAAGUCGCGUGAGGGAUGACGGUCCUAUGGAUUGUAAACCUCUUUUGUCAGGGAGCAAAGGGCGCCACGUGUGGCGCUUUGCGAGUACCUGAAGAAAAAGCAUCGGCUAACUCCGUGCCAGCAGCCGCGGUAAUACGGAGGAUGCGAGCGUUAUCCGGAUUUAUUGGGUUUAAAGGGUGCGCAGGCGGAAGAUCAAGUCAGCGGUAAAAUUGAGAGGCUCAACCUCUUCGAGCCGUUGAAACUGGUUUUU